rnacentral:rRNA from 1 species
UCCGUAGGUGAACCUGCGGAAGGAUCAUUAUAGUAUUCUAUUGCCAGCGCUUAAUUGCGCGGCGAUAAACCUUACACACAUUGUCUAGUUUUUUUGAACUUUGCUUUGGGUGCAUCAGCCUAGCUGCGUGCCCAAAGGUCUAAACACAUUUUUUAAUGUUAAAACCUUUAACCAAUAGUCAUGAAAAUUUUUAACAAAAAUUAAAAUCUUCAAAACUUUCAACAACGGAUCUCUUGGUUCUCGCAACGAUGAAGAACGCAGCGAAAUGCGAUACGUAUUGUGAAUUGCAGAUUUUCGUGAAUCAUCGAAUCUUUGAACGCACAUUGCACCCUCUGGUAUUCCAGAGGGUAUGCCUGUUUGAGCGUCAUUUCUCUCUCAAACCUUCGGGUUUGGUAUUGAGUGAUACUCUGUCAAGGGUUAACUUGAAAUAUUGACUUAGCAAGAGUGUACUAAUAAGCAGUCUUUCUGAAAUAAUGUAUUAGGUUCUUCCAACUCGUUAUAUCAGCUAGGCAGGUUUAGAAGUAUUUUAGGCUCGGCUUAACAACAAUAAACUAAAAGUUUGACCUCAAAUCAGGUAGGACUACCCGCUGAACUUAAGCAUAUCAAUAAGCGGAGGA